rnacentral:rRNA from 1 species
UACGUAGGGUGCAAGCGUUAAUCGGAAUUACUGGGCGUAAAGCGUGCGCAGGCGGUUGUGCAAGACAGAUGUGAAAUCCCCGGGCUUAACCUGGGAACUGCAUUUGUGACUGCACGGCUAGAGUGUGUCAGAGGGGGGUAGAAUUCCACGUGUGAGCAGUGAAAUGCGUAGAUAUGAUGGAGGAAUACCGAUGGCGAAGGCAGCCCCCUGGGAUAACACUGACGCUCAUGCACGAAAGCGUGGGGAGCAAACAGG